rnacentral:rRNA from 1 species
AUAGCAUAUCAAUAAGCGGAGGAAAAGAAACCAACAGGGAUUGCCCUAGUAACGGCGAGUGAAGCGGCAACAGCUCAAAUUUGAAAUCUGGCUCUCUUUGGGGGUCCGAGUUGUAAUUUGCAGAGGAUGCUUUGGCAUUGGCGGCGGUCUAAGUUCCUUGGAACAGGACAUCGCAGAGGGUGAGAAUCCCGUACGUGGGCGCCUGCCUUUGCCGUGUAAAGCUCCUUCGACGAGUCGAGUUGUUUGGGAAUGCAGCUCUAAAUGGGAGGUAAAUUUCUUCUAAAGCUAAAUACCGGCCAGAGACCGAUAGCGCACAAGUAGAGUGAUCGAAAGAUGAAAAGUACUUUGGAAAGAGAGUCAAAAAGCACGUGAAAUUGUUGAAAGGGAAGCGCUUGCAGCCAGACUUGCCCGCAGUUGCUCACCUAGGCUUUGGCCUGGGGCACUCUUCUGCGGGCAGGCCAGCAUCAGUUUGGGCGGUUGGAUAAAGGCCUCUGUCACGUAUCUCCCUUCGGGGUGACCUUAUAGGGGAGGCGCAAUGCAACCAGCCCGGACUGAGGUCCGCGCAUCUGCUAGGAUGCUGGCGUAAUGGCUGUAAGCGGCCCGUCUUGAAACACGGACCAAGGAGUCUAACAUCUAUGCGAGUGUUUGGGUGUCAAGCCCGGGCGCGCAAUGAAAGUGAACGGAGGUGGGAACCCUUUGGGUGCACCAUCGACCGAUCCUGAUGUCUUCGGAUGGAUUUGAGUAAGAGCAUAGCUGUUGGGACCCGAAAGAUGGUGAACUAUGCUUGAAUAGGGUGAAGCCAGAGGAAACUCUGGUGGAGGCUCGCAGCGGUUCUGACGUGCAAAUCGAUCGUCAAAUUUGGGCAUAGGGGCGAAAGACUAAUCGAACCAUCUAGUAGCUGGUUCCUGCGAGU